GUUGCUGAGAGGAGGCAUUGCAGGUGUGUCUCCUGUGUGACAUGUGAAUCAAAAUGUGGUAGAGAGAAGAAAGGCUAUGUGUAUGCUCAGUGUUCUGAUCUAUGGACAUCUGAAUGAUCAGUAGCCUAGCAUU